rnacentral:sRNA from 1 species
UGUCAAUUAUCUUGCGUUAUAUGAUUGC